AGCCACGCAGUGAGUACAUAGCGAACUAUUCUUUCGCCUUUUACUAAAGAAUACCGUGUACGCGCUGCAAUUAGUGGCAUAUGCCAAUUUUUGGAGGGGUUCUCUUCAUUGAGACUC
rfam:Solanum lycopersicum cultivar Heinz 1706 chromosome 7, whole genome shotgun sequence.